AAAGUGUAGCAAUACAUGAGUAAAGCGGCGCACGGGUGAGUAACACGUGGGUAAUCUGCCCUCGAGUGGGGAAUAACACCGGGAAACCGGUGCUAAUACCGCAUACGAUCACGAUUUCUUCGGAUUUUGUGAUGAAAGGAGCAAUUCGCUCUUGGAGGAGCCCGCGGCUGAUUAGCUAGUUGGAGAGGUAAUGGCUCACCAAGGCAACGAUCAGUAGCCGGUCUGAGAGGACGGUCGGCCACACUGGAACUGAGACACGGUCCAGACUCCUACGGGAGGCAGCAGUGGGGAAUUUUUCGCAAUGGGGGCAACCCUGACGAAGCAACGCCGCGUGGAUGAUGAAGUAUCUCGGUACGUAAAAUCCUUUCGACGGGGAAGAAAGCCGCAAGGUCUGACGGUACCCGUAGAAGAAGCCCCGGCUAACUCCGUGCCAGCAGCCGCGGUAAUACGGGGGGGGCAAGCGUUGUUCGGAAUUACUGGGCGUAAAGGGCGCGUAGGCGGUUCGCUAAGUUGAAUGUGAAAACUCUGGGCUUAACCCAGAGCCUGCAUUCAAUACUGGCGGGCUAGAGUUCUGGAGGGGAUAGCGGAAUUCCUGGUGUAGCGGUGAAAUGCGUAGAUAUCAGGAGGAACACCGGUGGCGAAGGCGGCUAUCUGGACAGAGUCUGACGCUGAGGCGCGAAAGCUAGGGGAGCAAACAGGAUUAGAUACCCUGGUAGUCCUAGCCCUAAACGAUGGAUACUUGCUGUGACUGGGAUUGAAUCCAGUCGUGGCGAAGCUAACGCAUUAAGUAUCCCGCCUGGGGAGUACGGUCGCAAGGCUGAAACUC
rnacentral:rRNA from 1 species